rnacentral:rRNA from 1 species
UACGAAGGGGGCUAGCGUUGCUCGGAAUCACUGGGCGUAAAGGGCGCGUAGGCGGCGUUUUAAGUCGGGGGUGAAAGCCUGUGGCUCAGCCACAGAAUGGCCUUCGAUACUGGGACGCUUGAGUAUGGUAGAGGUUGGUGGAACUGCGAGUGUAGAGGUGAAAUUCGUAGAUAUUCGCAAGAACACCGGUGGCGAAGGCGGCCAACUGGACCAUUACUGACGCUGAGGCGCGAAAGCGUGGGGAGCAAACAGG